rnacentral:lncRNA from 1 species
GGGAUGCACCAGGUCCUCUGCAGGUGCUUCCAAUAGAUGCCGCAAGCUGCCCUCACGAGCAGCAGCUGCUGGGGAGCAGGAGAUUAUUUAGGUGGGCUUCCAGGGGGCCCUGUAACCGUAGGGUUGAGCUUGGGUGGUGCUGCUGGUGGGUGUUUGCUGCCUUUAGAUGGGGGCUCCUGUCCUGGCUCUCUCUGUCAGGUCUGAUGUUCUUCACUUGUCAGAAUCUCCAAAGUAGCAGCCCUCUUGAAUUAGAGGGUAAAGAGCAGCAAGUAGGAAAAACCUAUUUCCAAGGUUCGCCAUGCGUUGUGAGCAGAGAAGAGCCAAGGCGUUGGACACUGUCAAUGAAUCUGUGUUGCAACAGAAGCCACUUCUGUCUGCGUGCACAGCUGCUACACUUCUAACCCAGCUGUCAGUGGGGAAAUGGUGAUUCAGUAAAACCCAAAUGUUUGAAAACUGUGUGGCC